rnacentral:SRP_RNA from 1 species
GCUGAGUGUUGUAGUGGGUGCCUGUAGUCCCAGCUAUUUGGGAGGCUGAGGCAAGAGGAUCACUUGAGCCCAAGAGUUUGAGGUUGCUAUGAGCUAUGAUGCCAUGGCACUCUACUGAGGGUGGCAUAGUGAGAUUCUGUCUCAAAAAAAGCCUGAAAUCUGAAAUGUUCCAAAAAAAAAAUUUUUUUUUUUUUGAGACAGAGUCUCAACCUGCUACCCUCUGUAGAGUGUUGUGGUGUCACAGCUCACAGCAACCUCAAACUCUUGGGCUAAAGUGAUCCUCUUGCCUCAG